GACAGAGGUGCCAAGCGUUAGGCGGAAUCACUGGGCUUAAAGCGUGUGUAGGCGGAUCGUUAAGUACCUUGUGAAAUCCCACGGCUCAACCGUGGAACUGCUGGGUAUACUGGCGAUCUUGAGCCACCUAGGGGCGAGCGGAACAAGCGGUGGAGCGGUGAAAUGCGUAGAUAUCGCUUGGAACGCCAAUGGUGAAAACAGCUCGCUGGGGGUGUGACUGACGCUGAGACACGAAAGCUAGGGGAGCGAACGGG
rnacentral:rRNA from 1 species